rnacentral:tRNA from 1 species
AAGAUACUAGUAAAACAGCAUAUUACAUUGCCUUGUCGAGGCAGAAAUGUGGGUUAAAAUCCCACGUAUCUUA